rnacentral:rRNA from 1 species
UACAGAGGGUGCAAGCGUUGUUCGGAAUUAUUGGGCGUAAAGGGCGCGUAGGCGGUGCGGUAAGUCUGUAGUGAAAUCUCUGGGCUCAACUCAGAGUCUGCUAUAGAAACUGCCGUGCUUGAGUGUGGGAGAGGUGAGUGGAAUUCCCGGUGUAGCGGUGAAAUGCGUAGAUAUCUGGAGGAACACCGGUGGCGAAGGCGGCAUCCUGGACCAAUAUUGACGCUGAGGAGCGAAAGCCAGGGGAGCAAACGGG